GUUGUUGUCCCUGUUGCACCUCCAAUAUCCUCCUCAUAUCUUCCCUCGCAACCACUUGUUGUUGAACCAAUACUUGCAUUAACUGAGCUACAGUAAUUUAUUCCCCAAGUUGAAUUUCAUGUUCUCCUGGAGUUUCUUCCCCGAGAGUGACCUUUGCAGGCUCAAUAGGAUGUUCUUGUUGUGGUGCAUCAUCAUCCGA
rnacentral:lncRNA from 1 species